UACGUAGGGUGCAAGCGUUGUCCGGAAUUAUUGGGCGUAAAGAGCUCGUAGGCGGUUUGUCGCGUCUGCUGUGAAAACUCGGGGCUUAACCCCGGGCCUGCAGUGGGUACGGGCAAACUAGAGUGCGGUAGGGGAGACUGGGAUUCCUGGUGUAGCGGUGAAAUGCGCAGAUAUCAGGAGGAACACCGGUGGCGAAGGCGGGUCUCUGGGCCGUAACUGACGCUGAGGAGCGAAAGCAUGGGUAGCGAACAGG
rnacentral:rRNA from 1 species